ACGUCCGCACUCGGCAGGGCUCGGGGCCCUCCUGUGGCCUCCCUUGCGCUCCCAGCCCCUGUCCUGGGACAAGCCCAGAUGAAAGGCAGCCCUGGGGCCACCCUCCCGGAUGCUGCUGGACUCAGUCACUCCUGGGGCUUCUGCAGAGUGAAGGGUUUGCUCAGUCCACAUCAAGGCUGCCCUUAGGGCACUUUUUCAGACUACCCAGAUGUGGAUUCGAAUUCCCAGGGGUGGGCCCAGGGCAUUGGGAUCACUAGAGCCAGGGGUGUCCAAGGUCCUUCCCAGCUCUUAAUGCACUGAGGUUGAGUUUAAACUGAGUCCUCCCCAGACUGCUGAUAGGUAAGUGACUUGGGCAGAAAAUACAGACAUACACAGCAGGCUCCCUAAGCACAGGGUUAGUGUCCGGGACCCUGGAGACCACCCAUGAGUUAGACACACAGGUGCUGUGGUGGGAGGGGCCAGCUUUCCUAGCAGGAGCCUGGCCCUUAAUGCCCUCAAUUCUCCAACGCGUCAAACCUCCCGUCUUGCCAGGACUUCCGGGUCAGUCUUCAGAGUCCCUCAAUAGAGGCCCAGGAGGCAAAAGGCUCCAACGUUCCCGGCCAUGGCCACGAGCCCCAGGGCUCCUCGAGGCUGCAGAUGGAGGACGAGGAUGACGAGGAGGAGGAGGAGGACGACGACGAUGUGCCUGAGUGGCAGCAGGACGAGUUUGACGAGGAGUUGGACAACGACAGCUUCUCCUAUGAUGAGGAGUCCGAGAACCUGGGCCGGGAGACUUUCUUCUUUGGUGACGAGGAGGACGAUGAUGAGGCCUAUGACUGAGGGGGCAGGAGACAAUCUAGAGCCGCCCAGAGCAAGGGCUGAGGGGGCGGGGGGCUCAGCCCUUCCUGCUGCCUGUCCUUGCAGAGGGGGUUCCCGGAUCUGUUUACUGAAUAAACUUCCUUUUUUCACA